rnacentral:rRNA from 1 species
GUAAACGGCGGCCGUAACUAUAACGGUCCUAAGGUAGCGAAAUUCCUUGUCGGGUAAGUUCCGACCUGCACGAAUGGCAUAAUGAUGGCCACACUGUCUCCUCCCGAGACUCAGUGAAGUUGAAAUGUUUGUGAUGAUGCAAUCUCCCCGCGGCUAGACGGGAAGACCCCAUGAACCUUUACUGUAGCUUUGCAUUGGACUUUGAACCGAUUUGUGUAGGAUAGGCGGGAGGCAGAGAAAGCGCAACGCCAGUUGUGCCGGAGCCGACGUUGAAAUACCGCCCUGAUUUGUUUGAGGUUCUAACCGCGACCCGUGAGCCGGGUUCGGGACCGUGCAUGGCAGGCAGUUUGACUGGGGCGGUCUCCUCCUAAAGGGUAACGGAGGAGUACAAAGGUACGCUAGGUACGGUCGGAAAUCGUGCUGAUAGUGCAAAGGCAAAAGCGUGCUUGACUGCGAGACCGACAAGUCGAGCAGAUGCGAAAGCAGGUCUUAGUGAUCCGGUGGCUCUGAAUGGAAGGGCCAUCGCUCAACGGAUAAAAGGUACUCUGGGGAUAACAGGCUGAUACCGCCCAAGAGUUCAUAUCGACGGCGGUGUUUGGCACCUCGAUGUCGGCUCAUCUCAUCCUGGGGCUGUAGCCGGUCCCAAGGGUAUGGCUGUUCGCCAUUUAAAGAGGUACGUGAGCUGGGUUUAAAACGUCGUGAGACAGUUUGGUCCCUAUCUGCCGUGGGCGCUGGAAGAUUGACGGGGGCUGCUCCUAGUACGAGAGGACCGGAGUGGACGCACCUCUGGUGUACCGGUUGUCACGCCAGUGGCAUCGCCGGGUAGCUAUGUGCGGAAGAGAUAACCGCUGAAAGCAUCUAAGCGGGAAACUUGCCUGAAGAUAAGUCUUCCCGGAGGCUAGACCUCCCUGAAGAGUCGUUCGAGACCAGGACGUUGAUAGGUCGGGUGUGUAAGCGUUGUGAGACGUUUAGCUAACCGAUACUAAUUGCUCGUGAGGCUUGAUCCU